rnacentral:rRNA from 1 species
UACGGGAGGGCAGCAGUGGGGGAAUAUUGCACAAGUGGGCGCCAGCCUGAUGCAGCCCAUGCCGCGUGUAUGAAGAAGGGCCUUCGGGUUGUAAAGUUACUUUCAGUCGUGAGGAGGUGUUAAGGUUAAUAACCUUAGCAAUUGACGUUAGCGACAGAACGAAGCACCGGCUAACUCCGUGCCAGCAGCCGCGGUAAUACGGAGGUGCGAGCGUUAAUCGGAAUUACUGGGCUAAAGGGCAACGCAGGCGGUUAAUAAGUUUGGAUGUGAAAUCCCCGGGCUUAACCUGGGAAUGGCAUUCAAGACGUGGUUAGCUUAGAGUCGUUUUGAGAGGGGGUAAGAAGUUCCAUGUGUAGCGGUGAAAUGCGUAGAGGAUGUCGGAGGAAUAACCGGUGGCGAAGGCGGCCCCGUGGACAAAGGAACGUGACGGCGUCAAGUGUACGGCUAAAACGGG